UGUGAGGAGAUCGCUUAAGGUACAUGUU
rnacentral:piRNA from 1 species